rnacentral:rRNA from 1 species
GACGUAGGGCGCGAGCGUUGUCCGGAUUUAUUGGGCGUAAAGAGCUCGUAGGCGGCUUGUUGCGUCAGCUGUGAAAACCCGCAGCUCAACUGUGGGCUUGCAGCUGAUACGGGCAGGCUUGAGUUCGGUAGGGGAGACUGGAAUUCCUGGUGUAGCGGUGAAAUGCGUAGAUAUCUGGAGGAACACCGGUGGCGAAGGCGGCAUCCUGGACCGGCAUUGACGCUGAGGCGCGAAAGCCAGGGGGAGCAAAACGGGG